rnacentral:misc_RNA from 1 species
UCCAACUUAUCGUUGGCGGUCUCCUGCGAGUUGCGCUUUGAUGUAAUCGCGGCAUGCCAGCACAGGACAGGGGUUGCGCUCGUUGCGCCACUUAAGGCAACACCUCACGGCACGAACUGACGACAGCCAUGCACCACCUGUGCAGGCUCCGAAGAGCGCCCGCUUUCACGGGUUUCACCCUGCAUGUCAAGCCCAGGUAAGGUUCUUCGCGUCGCAUCGAAUUAAGCAACAUGCUCCGCCGCUUGUGCGGGGCCCCGUCAAUUCCUUUGAGUUUUAACCUUGCGGCCGUAGUCCCCAGGCGGGGCACUUAAUGCGUUAGCUGCGGCACCGCAGGGGUCAAUACCCGCGACACCUAGUGCCCAUCGUUUACAGCGUGGACUAC